AGCAGCCGCGGUAAUACGGAGGGGUCGACAAACGUUGCUCGGAAUUAUUGGGGCGUAAAGCGCACGUAGGCGGUCCGCUAAGUCGGAUGUGAAAGCCCUCGGCUUAACCGAGGAAGUGCAUCCGAAACUGACGGGCUAAGAGUACGGAAAGAGGGUUUCGGAAUUCCCGGUGUAGAGGUGAAAUUCGUAGAUAUCGGGAGGAACAACCAGUGGCGAAGGCGGAAAACCUGGGCCGAUACUGACGCUGAGGUGCGAAAAGCGUGGGGAGCAAACAGGAUUAGAUACCCUGGUAGUCCACGCCGUAAACGAUGAGCGCUAGGUGUUGGGGGUAUUGACCCCCCCAGUACCGCAGCUAACGCGUUAAGCGCUUCCGCCUGGGGAGUACGGACCGCAAGGCUAAAACUCAAAGGAAUUGACGGGGGA
rnacentral:rRNA from 1 species